CUGCGGCAAGACCGACUGGUGGCCUGACAAUAUGGAAAGCCAUAACAAAAAGGUUCUAUCUACAAGAGGUCCAGGAGAGCAGCUCUUGCUUCAGCUCGUGCUUUGGGCGUUGGCGGUUGCUUGCCCAUUGAAGGAACAACUCGACACUAAUCUGCUUCGUAGAUGCGCAGUUUCAGAUUAUAAGGUGCCAAUUUUACAAUAUUGGCAUACGGUGCAUCUGGCAGCAGCAAGUCCUACACCCUGGGACUGGGGGGCAACAUAUAAGUCCACUGACGAGACCGCCGGCAUUAUCCCAAGAGCAUGUAGGGAGAUCUUUGCUGCUGUCCCUAGGGAUGACUAUGAGAUCAAAUAUUCAUUUGUUCAGGCAAGUCAUUCAUUGACUGUCUAAGUAACAUUUUCACUCUUUAUGAAUUUUUUUAUUUUUUAUGAUGGAAUUUUGUUGAUUGCAAGAAGCAACAUAGGCCAACAGAAAAUUUUUUGUGGCAUAUUAGCUCAGUACAAGUUUUCGAUCCCAUAGUAAAUAUGUAGAAGAUGAGUGCAAGUGAGCAGCAU